rnacentral:misc_RNA from 1 species
CUCCGUUGUAGGUUUCAAACCCACUGUUGGUCUCACUAGCCGUGCUGGUGUCAUUCCAGUUAUGCUGAGCCGUGAUACCAUUGGGCCAAUUACCAGGACAGUCUCUGAUGCAGUUUACUUGCUAGAUGUAAUUGUUGGUNNNUUGGUUUUGAUCCAAGAGAUUCUGAAGCAACCAGUGAAGCAGCCAAGUUUGUACCUGCCGGUGGUUACAAGCAAUUCCUCAACCUAAAUGGGCUUAAAGGGAAGAGACUGGGGAUUGUUAGAAAACCAUUUUUGAACUUGUUAAAUGAAUCCAUAAUUUCUGCUUUUGAGCAUCAUCUGAGCA